rnacentral:rRNA from 1 species
UACAGGGGGUGCAAACGUUGCUCGGAAUCAUUGGGCGUAAAGCGCACGUAGGCGGUUCGUUAUGUCGGAUGUGAAAGCCCUUGGCUUAACCGAGGAAGUGCAUCCGAAACUGGCGAGCUAGAGUACGAAAGAGGAUCGCGGAAUUCCCGGUGUAGCGGUGAAAUGCGUAGAUAUCGGAAGGAACACCUGUGGCGAAAGCGGCUCACUGGACCAUAACUGACGCUGAGGCGCGAAAGCUAGGGGAGCAAACAGG